rnacentral:rRNA from 1 species
ACGCUGGCGGCGGGCCUAAUACAUGCAAGUCGAACGAGAAAGCCUGGCUUCGGUCGGGUGAGUAAAGUGGCGAACGGGUGAGUAACACGUGGGUAAUCUGCCCUUGAGUUUGGGAUAAGCCUUCGAAAGGAGGUCUAAUACCGGAUAAUAUCUUUGGAUGGCAUCUUCCGAAGAUCAAAGACGGGGCAACCUGUCACUUGGGGAUGAGCCCGCGCUCCAUUAGCUUGUUGGUAGGGUAACGGCCUACCAAGGCUACGAUGGAUAGCCGGCCUGAGAGGGUGAACGGCCACACUGGGACUGAGAUACGGCCCAGACUCCUACGGGAGGCAGCAGUAGGGAAUAUUGCGCAAUGGACGAAAGUCUGACGCAGCAACGCCGCGUGGAUGAUGAAGCUUUUUGGAGUGUAAAAUCCUGUCAGCGGGGACGAACAAACCGGGGAGUAACUGCUCGGCCCUGACGGUACCCGCAGAGGAAGUUCCGGCCAACUCCGUGCCAGCAGCCGCGGUAAUACGGGGGGAACGAGCGUUGUUCGGAUUUACUGGGCGUAAAGGGCGUGUAGGCGGAUUUGCUAGUCAGAUGUGAAAACCGGUGGCUUAACCACCGGCCUGCAUCUGAUACUGCUAAUCUUGAGUACGGGAGAGGAAAGCGGAAUUCCAGGUGUAGCGGUGACAUGCGUAGAUAUCUGGAAGAACACCGGUGGCGAAGGCGGCUUUCUGGACCGAUACUGACGCUGAGGCGCGAAAGCUAGGGGAGCAAACAGGAUUAGAUACCCUGGUAGUCCUAGCCGUAAACGAUGGGUACUAGGUGUUGGGGGUAUCGACCCCCUCAGUGCCGCAGCUAACGCAUUAAGUACCCCGCCUGGGGAGUACGAUCGCAAGGUUGAAACUCAAAAGAAUUGACGGGGGCCCGCACAAGCGGUGGAGUAUGUGGUUCAAUUCGAGGCAACGCGAAGAACCUUACCUGGGCUUGACAUACACGGACAGCAUCUGAAAGGACGUUUCCCC